ensembl:lncRNA
GCCACAUCCACAGGGCUGGAGCUUUGGGCCUGAGACUCAGGACCUAAAGUUUCCUUUUAGAGUCGGUCCUGGGGAUGCACAUGUGGAUUAAAUUAGAGCAAUAUGUUUUUCUAACAGCAUCUUGGCUGAAAAGCCAAGCAGAUAAAUGGAAACAAACACAGCUUUAUGUGAAUGAAAAGGGGCUGACGAGGCAGCCACUUCUGCCUGAAGCGCCACAGCCAGCAGGGUUGCCCUCCUGGGGUCUCCCCCUCCUCCCGCUUCCCCCUCCAGCCCUGACCCUGGAAGCAUUCACCAGAGGGCUCCUCAAGGCCCCUCACCCAGCCUCUGCCCUGGCUGAACUGGCUUCCUGCCCAUCUCCAAACCCGAUUUGUGCUGCCCACUCUUGACCACAGUCAUCACCUAUGCUGUGCUCUCUGUGCAGACAUACCACGUUCUCCUGGAAGGCAGGGACUGCAUCCAGCUCCUCCUUGUCAUCCUCCCAAUGCUGAGAACAUGAUGGGUGUUGCAUAAAUAGAUGCUGUAAAUGAAUGAGUGGAAGGAGACAGAGAGUGUGAGAUAACAGAAAAUAUGUUUUGGUCUUUGACUUUGGUUCCUGUCAUGAGAUUCCUGAAGCCCUGGUAAUUUUCUGGGUGGUAGGAGUGUCUUUGGUUCUAAUGAAGUGACUCUGGGCGGGGCAGGGGG